AUAGAUUAGUAAUAGAUUGAUAGAUGUGUUUAUAAUAAAUUUAAACUACUUCACAUCUACAAAAGUGGAUCUGGCGUAGUGGUAAGGUUUUUGCACGGUGAGGUUUCAAGUUUAAUUCAUAACGAUGAAAAGUUCAAAAUAUUGUGCGCCAAAUAACUUAAUUACGGGCUGGUCCCUUGACUUUUAAAAUUCACGAUUAAAUCUAGUUUGUUAACAACGACUAAAAUAUACAAAUAAAUUUAUUAUAUUUUAGUCGUUGUAUAGGGAAGACCUUGUUGACUCAAUAAUAGACUAAACAACUACCGAUGUUAUUAUGGAAGAUUCAAUCAUGAAAUAUUUCUCAUUUGGACCAAGUUCAAAGAUGAACAAUUUUACAGCAAAAAAGUUAGAGACUGUAUUUUGUGCAGAGUAGAUACUCACAUGUGAUGGAAUCCACAAAAAAUGC
rnacentral:lncRNA from 1 species